GGGGGGUGCGGAUCUUGGGCUGUAUCCCCGGCGCCCUGGGCUACCGGCCUACGCUGUUGGAAUUGUGCUGUCUCCCGCGCAGCCCCCU
rnacentral:pre_miRNA from 1 species